rnacentral:rRNA from 1 species
CGGGGUGCAGCAGGCGCGAAAACUUUACAAUGCUGGAAACAGCGAUAAGGGGACCUCGAGUGCCAGGUUACAAAUCUGGCUGUCGUGAUGCCUAAAAAGCAUUGCAUAGCAAGGGCCGGGCAAGACCGGUGCCAGCCGCCGCGGUAACACCGGCGGCUCGAGUGGUAACCGUUAUUAUUGGGUCUAAAGGGUCUGUAGCCGGCCGGAUAAGUCUCUUGGGAAAUCCAGCAGCUCAACUGUUGGGCUUUCAGGAGAUACUGUCUGGCUCGAGGCCGGGAGAGGUGAGAGGUACUUCAGGGGUAGGGGUGAAAUCUUGUAAUCCUUGAAGGACCACCAGUGGCGAAGGCGUCUCACCAGAACGGACCUGACGGCAAGGGACGAAAGCUAGGGGCACGAACCGGAUUAGACACCCGGGUAGUCCUAGCCGUAAACGAUACUCGCUAGGUGUCGGCCACGGUGCGACCGUUGUCGGUGCCGUAGGGAAGCCGUGAAGCGGGCCACCUGGGAAGUACGGCCGCAAGGCUGAAACUUAAAGGAAUUGGCGGGGGAGCACAAGG